rnacentral:rRNA from 1 species
UACGUAGGGCGCAAGCGUUGUCCGGAAUUAUUGGGCGUAAAGAGCUCGUAGGUGGCUUGUCACGUCGGGUGUGAAAACUUGGGGCUUAACCCCAAGCCUGCUUCCGAUACGGGCGGACUAGAGGUAGGCAGGGGAGAACGGAAUUCCUGGUGUAGCGGUGAAAUGCGCAGAUAUCAGGAGGAACACCGGUGGCGAAGGCGGUUCUCUGGGCCUUACCUGACGCUGAGGAGCGAAAGCGUGGGGAGCAAACAGG